ACAUUGGUAGUUCAGUGGUAGAAUUCUUUCCUUCCAUUAGAGAGACCAGGGUUUGAUUCCCAGCCAAGGCA
rnacentral:tRNA from 1 species